rnacentral:ncRNA from 1 species
CUUCGGGGCAGGGUGAAAUUCCCGACCGGCGGUACAGCCCGCGAGCCGAGCCAUGCGGCAAGGCAGAUAUGGUGUGAUUCCAUAGCCGACAGUAAAGUCUGGAUGAGAGAAGAA